AUUAUGCUACCUUUGCACAGUUAGAAUACUGCGGCCAUUUAAAAAUUUUCAGUGGGCAGGUUAGACUUUAAAUUUAUUUCAAAAAGACAUGUUUUUGUUAAACAGGCGAAUAUUAUUUUUGCCGAAUUCUUUACUUAAACUUAUCAUUUAAAUUUAUUUUACAAUAAAAUAUACUAAUUCUAUCAUUAUUACUUAAUUUUAAAAAUUAAAAUUAAUAUUUCAAUAAAAAUUUAAAAUAUAAUAAAUAAUUUAAUUUAUAAAAUAAAUUAUAACAUAAUUUUAAAUAAUUGCUAAUUCUAAGCAUAUAUUUUUUAAAUUUAUUUAUUAUUUAUAAAAAUUUAUUUUAUAGCUUAUCCCAUAAAAUAUUAAAAUUAUAAAUUAUUUAAUUAAAAAAUUUUUUAAAUAAAUUUAUAAUUUCUAAAUUAAAUUUAUUUCUUGAAAAACUAGAUACCUUUAAAAACGAAUAACAUUUCAUUUCUAAUAUAAUAUUUAAAAUAAUUUUAUUACAUUAACUUUUAUACUAUAUUAACUCUUUUAAAAUCGAGAAAAAUAUAUUUAAAUAUUUUUUAUUUAAUAAACGCUGAUACACAAGGUACGAUAAAUUAAAUCUUCUUUUAAAAUAAAAAUUUUUCAAAAUAUUUCAAUUUUCUUUUACAAUACUACUAAACUAUUAUUAAAAUUAUUUUUUCUUUAAACAAUACUAAAACUUUUUCUUAUAUAAUUAUUUUUAAUAUUUUUACUCAAAAUUAAUAAAAUUAAUAAAUAAAAUCUAA
rnacentral:rRNA from 1 species